GGGCCCGCACAAGCAGCGGAGCGUGUGGUUUAAUUCGAUGUUACACGAAGAACCUUACCAGGGUUUGACAUGCAAGUGGUAGGAAGCCGAAAGGUGACCGACCCUUCGGGGAGCUUGCACAGGUGCUGCAUGGCUGUCGUCAGCUCGUGUCGUGAGAUGUUCGGUUAAGUCCGCUAACGAGCGCAACCCUCGCUGUGUGUUAUAUGUGUCACACGGGACUGCCGGUCUUAAGCCGGAGGAAGGUGGGGAUGAUGUCAAGUCAGCAUGGCCUUUAUAUCCUGGGCUACACACACGCUACAAUGGCCAACACAAUAGGUUGCUAAGCCGCGAGGUGGCGCCAAUCCAUAAAGUUGGUCUCAGUUCAGAUUGUAGGCUGCAACCCGCCUGCAUGAAGAUGGAGUUGCUAGUAACCGCAGGUCAGCUAUACUGCGGUGAAUACGUUCCCGGGGCUU
rnacentral:rRNA from 1 species